UCCGGGAGCAAUCCCGGGUUAGUGGCGGACGGGUGAGGAAUGCGUCGGAAUCUACCCUAUGGUGGGGGAUAACACAGGGAAACUUGUGCUAAUACCGCAUAAUGUCGAGAGACCAAAGCAGGGGACCGCAAGGCCUUGCGCGAUAGGAUGAGCCGACGCCCGAUUAGCUAGUUGGUAGGGUAAAGGCCUACCAAGGCGACGAUCGGUAGCUGGUCUGAGAGGAUGAUCAGCCACACUGGGACUGAGACACGGCCCAGACUCCUACGGGAGGCAGCAGUGGGGAAUAUUGGACAAUGGGCGCAAGCCUGAUCCAGCAAUGCCGCGUGUGUGAAGAAGGCCUGCGGGUUGUAAAGCACUUUUGUUCGGGAAGAAAUCAUGCCGACUAAUACUUGGUAUGGAUGACGGUACCGGAAGAAUAAGCACCGGCUAACUUCGUGCCAGCAGCCGCGGUAAUACGAAGGGUGCAAGCGUUAAUCGGAAUUACUGGGCGUAAAGGGUGCGUAGGCGGCUUUUUAAGUCGGAUGUGAAAUCCCCGGGCUUAACCUGGGAAUGGCAUACGAUACUGGGGAGCUAGAGUUUGGGAGAGGGUGGUGGAAUUCCCGGUGUGGCGGUGAAAUGCGUAGAGAUCGGGAGGAACAUCAGUGGCGAAGGCGGCCACCUGGCCUAAAACUGACGCUGAGGCACGAAAGCGUGGGGAGCAAACAGGAUUAGAUACCCUGGUAGUCCACGCCCUAAACGAUGAGAACUGGACGUUGGGAGGAAUUUGCCUCUUAGUGUCGAAGCUAACGCGUGAAGUUCUCC
rnacentral:rRNA from 1 species